AGAGUUUGAUCCUGGCUCAGAGCGAACGCUGGCGGCAGGCUUAACACAUGCAAGUCGAACGAUCCUUCGGGAUAGUGGCGGACGGGUGAGUAACACGUGGGAAUGUGCCUUUAGGUUCGGAACAACUGAGGGAAACUUCAGCUAAUACCGGAUGUGCCCUUCGGGGGAAAGAUUUAUCGCCUUUAGAGCAGCCCGCGUCUGAUUAGCUUGUUGGUGGGGUAAAGGCCUACCAAGGCGACGAUCAGUAGCUGGUCUGAGAGGAUGACCAGCCACAUUGGGACUGAGACGCGGCCCAAACUCCUACGGGAGGCAGCAGUGGGGAAUCUUGCGCAAUGGGCGAAAGCCUGACGCAGCCAUGCCGCGUGGAUGAUGAAGGUCUUAGGAUUGUAAA
rnacentral:rRNA from 1 species